rnacentral:rRNA from 1 species
UGAGGAAUAUUGCGCAAUGGAGGCAACUCUGACGCAGCCAUGCCGCGUGCAGGAAGAAGGCGCUACGCGUUGUAAACUGCUUUUAACCGGGAAGAAACCCCCUUACGUGUAAGGGGUUGACGGUACCGGCGGAAUAAGCACCGGCUAACUUCGUGCCAGCAGCCGCGGUAAUACGAAGGGUGCAAGCGUUAUCCGGAUUCAUUGGGUUUAAAGGGUGCGUAGGCGGAGCGUUAAGUCAGUGGUGAAAUCC